AGGCCCGGGAGCCGGGAGGCUGCGGGUGGCGGCGCUGGACCCGACGCGGCGAGAGAGGCCCCGAGAUGCCGAGCAAGAAGAAGAAGUACAACGCGCGGUUUCCGCCGGCGCGGAUCAAGAAGAUCAUGCAGACAGACGAAGAGAUUGGGAAGGUGGCGGCGGCGGUGCCUGUCAUCAUCUGUAUCCUGCCGGGGGCGGACCGGGUCCAGGGGCGUGGGGGAGGGAGGCAGCGGGUCGCCCUCUCCCGCCCCGGAGUUCUCCUUGACGCCCCUCAGCCCGGGCGCUCGAGCUCUUCCUAGAGUCGCUGUUGAAGAAGGCCUGCCAGGUGACCCAGUCGCGGAACGCGAAGACCAUGACCACAUCCCACCUGAAGCAGUGCAUCGAGCUGGAGCAGCAGUUUGACUUCUUGAAGGACCUGGUGGCAUCUGUUCCCGACAUGCAGGGGGACGGGGAGGACAACCACAUGGAUGGGGACAAGGGCGCCCGCAGGGGCCGGAAGCCAGGCAGCGGCGGCCGGAAGAAUGGUGGGAUGGGAACGAAAAGCAAAGACAAGAAGCUGUCCGGGACAGACUCGGAGCAGGAGGAUGAAUCUGAGGACACAGAUACUGAUGGGGAAGAGGAGACAUCACAACCCCCACCCCAGGCCAGCCACCCUCCUGCCCACUUUCAGAG
rnacentral:sRNA from 1 species